UACGUAGGGUGCAAGCGUUGUCCGGAAUUAUUGGGCGUAAAGAGCUCGUAGGCGGUUUGUCGCGUCUGCUGUGAAAUCCCGAGGCUCAACCUCGGGCUUGCAGUGGGUACGGGCAGACUAGAGUGCGGUAGGGGAGAUUGGAAUUCCUGGUGUAGCGGUGGAAUGCGCAGAUAUCAGGAGGAACACCGAUGGCGAAGGCAGAUCUCUGGGCCGUAACUGACGCUGAGGAGCGAAAGCGUGGGUAGCGAACAGG
rnacentral:rRNA from 1 species